UGUAGGUGUUCCUGCAGAAGGAUCACCGAGUAAGGAUCGAUGUCCAACCGGAUGUAGGAUCCCUGGGUUGUCACUAUAGUUUGAUUUCCUUGGGAUCUUGUACCUCAUGAUCACAUGCUUACUGUUGAAUGCGCAAGGCAGACGAAUCUGUCAAUCGACACAGAAAACUUCAAUGAUGGAUGUCUAGGCUCUCGUAUCGAUGAAGAACGUAGCAACGAGCGAUACCAUAUGAUACGCGCUGCUUUCGUGAAUCAUUGAGUCUUCGAACGCAUCUUGCGCUCAUGGUUCGAGCCUGUGGAAGGCUGAGCAUGCCCUAUGAAGUGACGCUUGCGGAAAUCCCUGUAAUCCUCGUCCAGACCCGUUUCGAUGGGUUUGGUUCUGAAGAUACAGGCAUAUCCGCCACCGAGCACUGGUGCCUGGUGGCGGGAAGGUGUCGUGGAUCAACACCACCAACCCGCCUCUCUUGGAGAGUGAGGGUCCUCAUCGUCGAGUCCUUCGUAGAGAGGCAAGACUACCCGCUGAACUUAAGCAUAUCAUUAAGCCGAGGAAAAGAAACUAACAAGA
rnacentral:rRNA from 1 species